GGUUCGUGGUUCAGUCGUAGAGCCCCUCCCUUGCAAACAGAUGGUUCCAGGUUCGAAUCCUGGCAUCUCCA